AAAGAAGGAGGAAAAAAAAAACCCAGAUGGUUGAAAAGGGAAAGAAGUAAAAUCCUCUGUCAGUGGUCUUGGAGGAAUCCUGGCUUUCCCUCCAUCCCACUUUUUGUUGGAAGUUAGUCAUAGGCCUAGGCCCGGCCCAGAGCACUGGGUGGCAACAGUUGUUAGUAUUGAAAGAAUAGAACUCAAAAGGUUGGAAGUGACCUUGAGAGGUCAUCUCAUCCAUCAUUUUGUCUGUUAAAAAAAAAAGCAUGUGCCACCAUCUCAGAGACAUGGGGAUUGUUCUGUUUAAAUAUUUUGGGGGACUUGGAAGGCUUUGGAAGUACUCUGUGAGGGCUCAAAAGCAUCUCUCUGCCUUAACUAGCACGUGACUCUGGACCUAUUGGUAAUUUUCCAGAGCCACCUUUUUUGGGCACCAUAAGGUUACCAGGUACCCAGAAGGGUUUUUCAGCAGAAAAUGCUAAAACCUCUACUUCAAGCUUAGUUCUGUGGAUGUUUAGAGCUUUCUUCAUUUUGAAUUCCUUCUCGGGCUCUCCUGAGGAUUUCAAUCUGUGGUUAACAUUUUUUUUUUUUUUUUAAACCUGGGUUUAAAGAGCUGAUUCAAGGAAUUAACCAAGUAAAAGGGCAGAGGUGGAGUCAGCCAGUGGCCUCUGCCCUUCUAUUGUAGAGCUGCUGUCCCGGAACAGCCCAAGGCAUAGCAGUGGGAAGGGUCUACUCCCUUCCUGGAAUCCUGAAACUUUAAUACCUUUGUGGUGCUUUAAGGCCAAAAGUAAACAUUUGUCUUGUUGGGGCAUCAAGCAGUCCCCUUAGCAAAUACAGGACUACUGUUAAUAUUCAUUAGAACGAGAUCCCCCAUGAAGGGAGU
rnacentral:lncRNA from 1 species